rnacentral:rRNA from 1 species
UUGCCUCAGUAACCGGCGAGUGAAGCGGCAACAGCUCAAAUUUGAAAUCUGGCCCCUAGGCCCGAGUUGUAAUUUGCAGAGGAUGCUUUUGGCGAGGUGCCUUCCGAGUUCCCUGGAACGGGACGCCAUAGAGGGUGAGAGCCCCGUCUGGUCGGACACCAAGCCUCUGUAAAGCUCCUUCGACGAGUCGAGUAGUUUGGGAAUGCUGCUCUAAAUGGGAGGUAUAUGUCUUCUAAAGCUAAAUACCGGCCAGAGACCGAUAGCGCACAAGUAGAGUGAUCGAAAGAUGAAAAGCACUUUGGAAAGAGAGUUAAACAGCACGUGAAAUUGUUGAAAGGGAAGCGUUCACGACCAGACUUGGGCCGGUUGAUCAUCCAGCGUUCUCGCUGGUGCACUCUGCCGGCCCAGGCCAGCAUCAGUUCGCCCCGGGGGACAAAGACGGCGGGAAUGUAGCUCCUCCGGGAGUGUUAUAGCCCAUCGUGCAAUACCCUGUGGUGGACUGAGGUUCGCGCUCUGCAAGGAUGCUGGCGUAAUGGUCGUCAACGACCCGUCUUGAAACACGGACCAAGGAGUCGUCUUCGUAUGCGAGUGUUCGGGUGUCAAACCCCUACGCGUAAUGAAAGUGAACGCAGGUGAGAGCUUCGGCGCAUCAUCGACCGAUCCUGAUGUUCUCGGAUGGAUUUGAGUAAGAGCAUACGGGGCCGGACCCGAAAGAAGGUGAACUAUGCCUGUAUAGGGUGAAGCCAGAGGAAACUCUGGUGGAGGCUCGCAGCGGUUCUGACGUGCAAAUCGAUCGUCAAAUAUGGGCAUGGGGGGCGAAAGACUAAUCGAACCUUCUAGUAGCUGGUUUCCGCCGAAG